rnacentral:sRNA from 16 species
GAACUGUGCAGGAUUACAAGCGCAUGGCCUUGCAUCUGCAAGGUGUUGUGGCUGAAAGGCACCCUUCCCGAGGGUCCGGUCAAUGCCGAAAGAGCGAUUAUGGGACGAUCCGAAUCCUAUGCUCUUUCGGUUUUGCCAA